rnacentral:sRNA from 1 species
CUGACAGGCAAGUUUCAAGAUAGUGGCUAAGCCCAGGUCCUGAAGAGAGGAGGACCGUGCUGGUGGCCCCAUCAGAGGACGGGGACAGCUCUCUCCUUCUGUAAGUGAGGCAGCCUCAUCCUUCCCUGGAUCCUCAGCAUCUCUUAACCAGCAGUGGCAGAGGUUGAAUUAGAAUGGCACCAGCUUCAGAUAAAAAUCCAGAUCUCGCUUUUCAAAACGUGUCUAGAGCUGGUGGCUGUAAGGAACCAAUCAAGCCUCAGCUGUGAUUCUAAUCCUGCCAAGUCCACCUGAGAGCCAACUCGUUCAUCCAAAGAGAGAACGGUUUGGAUGGAGCUCAAGGUGCCUGGCUCGCUGGCAUAGCCCAGACAACCUCUUAAAGGCCGGGCCAGAGCUAGAAGGUCUGUCACUACUCAGUUGGGGAAAUCAUCUGAGAAGUUCAAGUCCACUGCCUCGCAACUCAAAUGAGUCAGCCUCACCAACCAAGAAUCGCGUUCAUAAACAGACUCAGCCUGCGUGCCGUGGGGUUUCCCGGUCUGCAACUCUCUCACCUGGCCCUCCUGCAGGGCCCGGCG